UACGUAGGGACCAAGCGUUGUUCGGAUUUACUGGGCGUAAAGGGCGCGUAGGCGGCGUGGUAAGUCACUUGUGAAAUCUCUGAGCUUAACUCAGAACGGUCAAGUGAUACUGCUGUGCUAGAGUGCGGAAGGGGCAAUCGGAAUUCUUGGUGUAGCGGUGAAAUGCGUAGAUAUCAAGAGGAACACCUGAGGUGAAGACGGGUUGCUGGGCUGAUACUGACGCUGAGGCGCGAAAAGCUAGGGGUAGCAAAACGGG
rnacentral:rRNA from 1 species